rnacentral:rRNA from 1 species
GACGAACGCUGGCGGCGUGCUUAACACAUGCAAGUCGAACGGUAAGGCGCUUUCGGGCGUACACGAGUGGCGAACGGGUGAGUAACACGUGAGGAACGUGCCCUUGACUUUGGUAUAGCACUUGGAAACAGGUGGUAAUCCCGAAUAUUCAGUUUCCCGGGCAUCCGGGUUGUUGGAAAGCUUUUUGCGGUCAGGGAUCGUCUCGCGGCCUAUCAGCUUGUUGGUGGGGUAGUGGCCCACCAAGGCCUUGACGGGUAGCCGGCCUGAGAGGGCGACCGGCCACAUUGGGACUGAGAUACGGCCCAGACUCCUACGGGAGGCAGCAGUGGGGGAAUAUUGCACAAAUGGGCGGAAAGCCCUGAUGCAGCAAACGCCCGCGUGCGGG